UCCCUGGUGGUCUAGAGGUUAGGACUCAGCACAUUCACUGCUGCAGCCCAGGUUCACUUCCUGGUCUGGGCA
rnacentral:tRNA from 1 species